AGUGAACGCUGGCGGUAGGCCUAACACAUGCAAGUCGAACGGCAGCACAGUAAGAGCUUGCUCUUACGGGUGGCGAGUGGCGGACGGGUGAGGAAUACAUCGGAAUCUACUUUUUCGUGGGGGAUAACGUAGGGAAACUUACGCUAAUACCGCAUACGACCUACGGGUGAAAGCAGGGGAUCUUCGGACCUUGCGCGAGUGAAUGAGCCGAUGUCGGAUUAGCUAGUUGGCGGGGUAAAGGCCCACCAAGGCGAUGACCCGUAGCUGGUCUGAGAGGAUGGCCGGGCACAUUGGGACUGAGAGAGGGCCCAGACUGCUACGGGAGGCAGCGGUGGGGAAUUUUGCACAAUGGGAGGAAGCGUGAUGCAGCAACGCCGCGUGCGGGAUGACGGCCUUCGGGUUGUAAACCGCUUUCGCCUGUGACGAAGCGUGAGGGACGGUAAUGGGUAAAGAAGCACCGGCUAACUACGUG
rnacentral:rRNA from 1 species